rnacentral:lncRNA from 1 species
AUGCGGAGCCGCCCUGCCUCCUUCUACCAAGAAAUUAUAUUUAUUUUUCUCCAGAAAUAUGUAAUAAUCGAGAUCAUCAGGAAAACAGUUCCUUCUGCUUGUUUAUGGGCUGAGGAGUGCAAGCAAUGGGAAACGCAGGGGAAGGAGAUGUUCUCCCUCACAUCCCCUUCCGUCCAGAGCCAUGUCCCUCUGCAGGGUGCCCAGCCUCUGUUAAUGGGAAAAUUUUCAUUAUUCUUCUCCUUUUCUCUUCCAGGAAGAGCAGCCAGCACGCAGUCCCCACGGCCUUUCCACCGGAUCAUGCAGCCUGACUAACCUGGCUGCCUCCAGGUGGGAUUUUCAGACUUCGUGACACUUGAAGAAUAAAGAUGCUCCCUCUGGUUCUUCAGCCAGCAUUUCCACCUCCUCUCAUUACGUUCCUGGCUACUCUCCUGCACUGCGUCUCCAGCAGCUUCGAGCAAGUCUGUUCUCAGAAUGCAAACCUGAUCUCUGUUAUGGAUUAAUGAACAGAAAGAAGACAGGAAUCAGUGCAAAAUAGGUUCGUGGGGGUUUUUGUGCCUGGACACUGGCCCACUCUGGGGACAACAUGUCAGCUAUGACACUGGGGAUUUCCAGAAAUAAAUGCAUCUUGACCUAGAAACAAACCCAGUGCAUAUGUGAAGAACAUUAUGGAGGAAAUCAGUGCCUCAGAGACCCCUGAGAUGGCCGCUUUCUGCCAGAUGAUGCUGUGGCUUAUUGGGAAAUAGGGCACCAAAAAUAGUUUAGUUUGGGUGUAAAUUCUGACCCUUAGAAAUAUUUAUCUUGAGCAAAACCAGACUGAAGGGUUUAAAGUACAGUGCUGUUUGCAAAUAGCUUUUUUUUUUCUGUUUCCUUUAGAAUACUUCCAAUAUAAGUGGGGUUAUCAUGACAAAUAGCACGCCCUACCCCAUGAUCACUGCUCCAGCAGGCCAAGCAGUCGCUCAUAAACCUCCAGGAUUCAUUUAUUCCUCUCAUCAUCACCAACAAAACCUUGGUUCAGUAACUUCUAAUGGUUUCCUUGCCGAGUAGAGAAUUGAAUCUGACCCGCAUCAUUUGUACAACUAUCAAUUGCUUCUCUCUGAUGUUUUUCUCUUCCAGGUCAGUUAUGUCCGAUUCCCUUUAAGCUUUGAUAAAUGCGAGGGCUUCUGGCACAGAUGAAUGGCACAUCACACUUUCAGAUAGCUCAGGAGCAUCUUAAUUGCCUUCUUGUUGUCAGACAUCCUCAGUCUUCCCUUUGGUGACAGCGAUGUCCUCGGUAAUGUCACUACAGCUCCCAGAGUGAAGCUGGCUCUGGAGGACCUCAGCCCACUUAUCACUGUGAUCUCACAGCACCGAGCCUGUUUGGUGCAACCCCCAUAAGCAGCAUCCUCUUGCCAGCCAUGCCCUGGAGUGCAGAAGCAGCUUCACCCCAUGACAUCCAUUGGGUUGACUUACCCUUUUCAGGCCAACAAGGUGAGGAGGUGGCACGUUGCCUCUUCUCCGCUUGCAGACCAUGGCUGAGCAGCCGUGUCUGGUUUCAGCAUCUCCCUUCAAGGAUAACCUGAGGAGAGUCCGUGUGACAGCAAGUGAAUGAUCAGAGGCUGGGCAAGCACGAGCUAUUGGGAAGCAAUGGGUGUCAUUCAAUCUGGAGGAAGGACGGCUGCGAGGAGACACAGUAGCAGCCUUCAAUUAUGUAAAAGGUCACUGCAGAGGGGGAGAACAAGCAGCUCUUGCAGGGAUGAGAGGAGAAGUCAGGGACUGAAAUUACAAUGAGAACAAGGCUAAGGGAGUUUUUCUGCUUAGAAUCAGAGCGUGUGUGCCUCCAUGCCAGCAGCCCAUCCAUUGAGUGCCACAGAUUUUGGGGUGACCCAGCUUUGGGAUGUACUAAGAAGAGAAAGCUGUGCAGGGUCAGGGAGCCCUUUAGAAGUAAUGGAUCUCUUAGUGUGCUCUGAGAAGACCUGGGCAUGGAGAUUAUUCUGGCAGAGGUUAAGAGGCUGUUAAAUUGCUUGGCUACAAAGGUCUGUAUCUGAUAUAUUUGGCCAGCAAAGAGCUGGAGGCUAACACCAGCAAUGUCCAAGCUGCACGAAGGCGCACAUUUUUAGCACAGAGAGUAAUUAGCUGCUAGAGCAGAUUGCUGAAGGAUGCAGAGAUGUUUUCCAUUGUCUUAAAGAAUUACAUGGCACUCUAAAAA